rnacentral:rRNA from 1 species
UACGUAGGGUGCGAGCGUUAAUCGGAAUUACUGGGCGUAAAGCGUGCGCAGGCGGCUUUGCAAGACAGAUGUGAAAUCCCCGGGCUCAACCUGGGAACUGCCUUUGUGACUGCAAGGCUAGAGUACGGCAGAGGGGGAUGGAAUUCCGCGUGUAGCAGUGAAAUGCGUAGAUAUGCGGAGGAACACCAAUGGCGAAGGCAAUCCCCCGGGCCUGUACUGACGCUCAUGCACGAAAGCGUGGGGAGCAAACAGG